CCUACGGGUGGCAGCAGUGGGGAAUAUUGGACAAUGGGGGCAACCCUGAUCCAGCCAUGCCGCGUGUGUGAAGAAGGCCCUCGGGUUGUAAAGCACUUUCAGUGAGGAAGAACGCCUGGUGGUUAAUACCCAUCAGGAAAGACAUCACUCACAGAAGAAGCACCGGCUAACUCCGUGCCAGCAGCCGCGGUAAUACGGAGGGUGCGAGCGUUAAUCGGAAUUACUGGGCGUAAAGCGCGCGUAGGUGGCUUGAUAAGCCGGUUGUGAAAGCCCCGGGCUCAACCUGGGAACGGCAUCCGGAACUGUCAAGCUAGAGUGCAGGAGAGGAAGGUAGAAUUCCCGGUGUAGCUGUGAAAUGCGUAGAGAUCGGGAGGAAUACCAGUGGCGAAGGCGGCCUUCUGGACUGACACUGACACUGAGGUGCGAAAGCGUGGGUAGCAAACAGGAUUAGAUACCCGUGUAGUC
rnacentral:rRNA from 1 species